GAUGAACGCUGGCGGCGUGCCUAAUACAUGCAAGUCGAGCGAACAGACGAGGAGCUUGCUCCUCUGACGUUAGCGGCGGACGGGUGAGUAACACGUGGAUAACCUACCUAUAAGACUGGGAUACCUUGGGAAACCCGGAGCAAAUCCGGGAUAAUCUAUUGAACCGCAUGGUUCAUUGGUGAAAGACGGUUUUGCUGUCACUACUGGCUGCUUCCCCGCCGCAUUAGCUGGUGGUUCAGGUAACGGCUUACUAAGGCAAGGAUGCGUGGCCCACCUGAGGGGGUGAUCGCCGACACGGGAACUUAGACACGGUCCAGACUCCUACGGGAGGCAGCAGUAUGGAAUCUUACGCAAUAGGCGAAAGCAUGACGGAGCAACGCCGCGUGAGUGAUGAAGGUCUUCGGAUCGUAAAACUCUGUUAUUAGGGAAGAACAAAUGUGUAAGUAACUAUGCACGUCUUGACGGUACCUAAUCAGAAAGCAACGGCUAACUACGUG
rnacentral:rRNA from 1 species